GACGUAGGGCGCGAGCGUUGUCCGGAUUUAUUGGGCGCAAAGAGCUCGUAGGCGGCUUGUUGCGUCGUCCGUGAAAACCUGUGGCUCAACCACAGGCUUGCGGUCGAUACGGGCGGGCUGGAGUUCGGUAGGGGAGACUGGAAUUCCUGGUGUAGCGGUGAAAUGCGCAGAUAUCAGGAGGAACACCGGUGGCGAAGGCGGGUCUCUGGGCCGAUACUGACGCUGAGGAGCGAAAGCGUGGGGAGCGAACAGG
rnacentral:rRNA from 1 species